UGAGCCUCCCGCUGACACUAAUGUCAGUGUUGGACUUUGUCGGUUGCAGAAUGAAUCUCAGGCCUGAAUGUUCAGUAAAUUCGGACUCGUCACCAAAUCGCCACCAGACGAACCUUUUAUAGACAAACAGAGGGAGGUGGAGGUCGUUUGGUGUCGUGGGAACAGCUCGAAAAAAAAAAUAAAUAGAGGCCUCAUAUCACAGCACACACACACACACACACACACACACACACACACACACACACACACACACACACACACAGUGUUUCUAUGGUUCCCAUUACAUUCCUGUUCAGCUGGAGAACGUUGGGAUUCUGCAGGAGUUUGUUAGAAAAACCAGAACAUGAUGUAAACGUGCUCUUCUACUUUAUUCUUGGUAAUAUAUAUAUAUAUAUGUAAAUAUAUAUAUUUACCAGAAACAUAAAGCAAUUAUAUUAAAAUAAGUGGAUACAAUUAAAACAAUGAACUAAACCAUACACAUAAUAUUUACAAGGCAAAAUGAAAACCAUGUUCAAAUGUACAAAACAAAUAAAUAUAUGAUUUAUUCACAAUAUUUACAAGAAUUAUACAAUAACUGAAUUUCAAUCAAAAAUCUAUAUAAAUGAAGUGGAUUUCCAACCAUUAGCCUCCCAGCUAGCCGUAGCCUCUUAGCCUCCCAGCUAGCCUUAGCCUCCUAGCCUCCCAGCUAGCCGUAGCCUCUUAGCCUCUUAGCUAGCCGUAGCCUCUUAGCCUCCCAGCUAGCCGUAGCCUCUUAGCCUCCCAGCUAGCUGUAGCCUUCAUGAUGAGCGGAUGUGUCUGGAAACAUGAGUCAGACUCUGAGAAAACGUUGAUCUUCAGCUGGAACCUGGAGCUGUGAGAAGCAGCAGGUUGUUGGAUCUAAACCCAGACGGAGCUAAAGAUGGACAGAAAGACGUUUGCAGUGGAUCAGUUUGUUUUCUAUAAAAAGCCUGAGAAAUAUUAAACGUCCGACAUGGAAAAUGCUGGUGCAGUUCCAGCCGUCUGACCCCUGUAACCGUCUGACUAAAGCUCAGAGGAAAUAACACAAAGACACUGAGACUCAGACCAACAUCUGGCUCCGGGUCCAGAUGUGACACCUCGUCAGUGACUCAGAGUCUGAGUCUGGAGCCACAGCAGGAACCUGUUAGACUCACCUGGAUGAUUCACCAGCAACACGGGCCACGUUUUAUUAGAUUUAAAGUUAAUUAAAAGUAAUAAAGAGUCACACACGUGGUAAAAUGGACUUUUAAUGUUAAUUACUGACCAUUUAUUCUGUGUCUAUAGAUAAAAAAAUGAUUGUUUGAUGUCA